ACAGCACCGACCAGAAUUGAGCGCCAGGAAACUGAUUAAUCGCUUCGGUGAAGAUUAUAAACGCCAAGCCUGUGCCCGACGCCGACUGUAAUCAUAUUAUAAUAAUCGCUGGUCGCACUCGGGCAGUUCCGGCAUUAUCAAAUUAUCCAGCGAUCCGUUGCCGUUCGUGAUAUUCAGCAGCGUGCCGGCAAUCGGAAUGUCCUCAGGGAUCAGAAGCGUAGGGAUUAGAAGUUUCUAAAUGGAGUGAGUUCACACGUACCGAUGAUCGAGAAGACGACGAUGCCCGCGAA